rnacentral:rRNA from 1 species
GACGAACGAUGGCGGCGUGCUUAACACAUGCAAGUCGAACGGUGAAGCGCCUUCCUUUUUGGUGGGUGUGGAUGAGUGGCGAACGGGUGAGUAACACGUGAGUAACCUGCCCCCUUCUUCUGGAUAACCGCAUGAAAGUGUGGCUAAUACGGGAUAUUCUGUGUCUGUCGCAUGAUGGGUCUGGGAAAGAUAUUGUUUCGGUGGGGGAUGGGCUCGCGGCCUAUCAGCUUGUUGGUGGGGUGAUGGCCUACCAAGGCGGUGACGGGUAGCCGGCCUGAGAGGGUGGACGGUCACACUGGGACUGAGACACGGCCCAGACUCCUACGGGAGGCAGCAGUGGGGAAUAGUGCACAAUGGGCGCAAGCCUGAUGCAGCGACGCCGCGUGAGGGAUGGAGGCCUGCGGGUUGUGAACCUCUUUCGCCAGUGAAGCAGGCCUGCCUCGUUUGUGGGUGGGUUGACGGUAGCUGGAGAAGAAGCGCCGGCUAACUACGUG